UGAGAUGCACAUCGCUACUUUCGUAACCAUUCUCUUGUUGAUUCCUGCUGGCCCGGUCACCAUCCCGGCACUGCCAGACAUAUAUGAAUUUGCAGAGGGCAUGUGGAACAUGACGACACAAGCUUCUUGGCACGUUUCGAAAACAGACACUUGAUGUUGAAGAUGGAUGCUGAAUUCAAAACUCUAGAAGAAAGGCGAACAGAGAAUGAGAGAGCAUUGACUGACACGGAAAAUAAAUCUAAAGCCUUAUCAAUGUGGAUUAAUGUCUACACGUCCGAACUGUCCAGAAAGUUAGAAGUGCAGUCUGCUGGACAGUUUGUCCGUCGAUCCCUCAAACGACAGAAAUUGUUGUGAAUGGACUAUUUGUUGAAGCAUUUUAUUGUUGAUUAAA